rnacentral:rRNA from 1 species
AACUUUCAACAACGGAUCUCUUGGUUCUGGCAUCGAUGAAGAACGCAGCGAAAUGCGAUAAUGUAAUGUGAAUUGCAGAUUCAGUUAAUCAUCGAAUCUUUGAACGCACAUUGCGCCCGCCAGUACUCUGGCGGGCAUGCCUCUUCGAGCGUCAUU